rnacentral:rRNA from 1 species
GGGGGGGGGUGCUAAUAAUGCAGUCGAGCGCAGGAAGCAAGCGGAUCCCCUUCGGGGGUGACGCUUGUGGAAUGAGCGGCGGACGGGUGAGUAACACGUGGGCAACCUGCCUGUAAGACUGGGAUAACUCCGGGAAACCGGGGCUAAUACCGGGUAAUACCUGACUCCGCAUGGAGUCGGGUUGAAAGAUGGCUUCUCGCUAUCACUUACAGAUGGGCCCGCGGCGCAUUAGCUAGUUGGUGAGGUAACGGCUCACCAAGGCAACGAUGCGUAGCCGACCUGAGAGGGUGAUCGGCCACACUGGGACUGAGACACGGCCCAGACUCCUACGGGAGGCAGCAGUAGGGAAUCUUCCGCAAUGGACGAAAGUCUGACGGAGCAACGCCGCGUGAACGAUGAAGGUCUUCGGAUCGUAAAGUUCUGUUGUCAGGGAAGAACAAGUACCGUGCGAAUAGAGCGGUACCUUGACGGUACCUGACCAGAAAGCCACGGCUAACUACGUGCCAGCAGCCGCGGUAAUACGUAGGUGGCAAGCGUUGUCCGGAAUUAUUGGGCGUAAAGCGCGCGCAGGCGGUUUCUUAAGUCUGAUGUGAAAGCCCCCGGCUCAACCGGGGAGGGUCAUUGGAAACUGGGGAACUUGAGUACAGAAGAGGAGAGUGGAAUUCCACGUGUAGCGGUGAAAUGCGUAGAUAUGUGGAGGAACACCAGUGGCGAAGGCGACUCUCUGGUCUGUAACUGACGCUGAGGCGCGAAAGCGUGGGGAGCGAACAGGAUUAGAUACCCUGGUAGUCCACGCCGUA